GAUGAACGCUGGCGGCGUGCCUAAUACAUGCAAGUCGAGCGAACAGACGAGGAGAUUGCUCCUCUGACGUUAGCGGCGGACGGGUGAGUAACACGUGGAUAACCUACCUCUAAGACUUGGAUAACUUCGGGAAACCGGAGCUAAUACCGGAUAAUAUAUUGAACCGCAUGGUUCAAUAGUGAAAGACGGCUUUGCUGUCACUUAUAGAUGUAUCCGCGCCGCAUUAGUUAGUUGGUAAGGUAACGGCUUACCAAGGCAACGAUGCGUAGCCGACCUGAGAGGGUGAUCGGCCACACUGGAACUGAGACACGGUCCAGACUCCUACGGAGGCAGCAGUAGGGAAUCUUCCGCAAUGGGCGAAAGCCUGACGGAGCAACGCCGCGUGAGUGAUGAAGGUCUUCGGAUCGUAAAACUCUGUUAUUAGGGAAGAACAAAUGUGUAAGUAACUAUGCACGUCUUGACGGUACCUAAUCAGAAAGCCACGGCUAACUACGUG
rnacentral:rRNA from 1 species